GACGAACGCUGGCGGCGUGCUUAACACAUGCAAGUCGAACGGGUCUGCCCUGUUUUUUUGCGGGGUGGUUAGGUGGCGAACGGGGGAUUAACACGUGGUUAACCUCCCCCCCAUUCUUGGAUACCCCCUUGAAGGGGUGGCUAAUACGGGGUGUUUUGCUUGGGCGGAUUGGGUUGGCUGGGAAGGAUUCACUUUUUGGGUGUUUUGGUGGGGGAUGGGCUGGCGGCCUAUCAGCUUGUGGGGGGGGUGAUGGCCUGCCAAGGUUUGGACGGGUGGCCGGCAUGGGGGGGUGGGCGGUCACACUGGGACUGAGAUACGGCCCAGACUCCUGCGGGAGGCAGCAGUGGGGGGUAUUGCACAAUGGGCGGAAGCCUGAUGCAGCGACGUCGCGUGAGGGAUGGAGGCCUUCGGGUUGUGAACCUCUUUCGCCGGUGAAGAAGGUCCUGCUCUUUGUGGUGGGGUUGACGGUAGCCGGGUUAUGAAGCGCCGGCUAACUACGUG
rnacentral:rRNA from 1 species